UUAAGUUAUUAAGGGCGCACGGUGGAUGCCUUGGCACUAGAAGCCGAUGAAGGACGUUACUAACGACGAUAUGCUUUGGGGAGCUGUAAGUAAGCUUUGAUCCAGAGAUUUCCGAAUGGGGAAACCCAGCAUGAGUUAUGUCAUGUUAUCGAUAUGUGAAUACAUAGCAUAUCAGAAGGCACACCCGGAGAACUGAAACAUCUUAGUACCCGGAGGAAGAGAAAGAAAAUUCGAUUCCCUUAGUAGCGGCGAGCGAAACGGGAAGAGCCCAAACCAACAAGCUUGCUUGUUGGGGUUGUAGGACACUCUAUACGGAGUUACAAAGGACGACAUUAGACGAAUCAUCUGGAAAGAUGAAUCAAAGAAGGUAAUAAUCCUGUAGUCGAAAAUGUUGUCUCUCUUGAGUGGAUCCUGAGUACGACGGAGCACGUGAAAUUCCGUCGGAAUCUGGGAGGACCAUCUCCUAAGGCUAAAUACUCUCUAGUGACCGAUAGUGAACCAGUACCGUGAGGGAAAGGUGAAAAGCACCCCGGAAGGGGAGUGAAAUAGAACCUGAAACCGUGUGCUUACAAGUAGUCAGAGCCCGUUAAUGGGUGAUGGCGUGCCUUUUGUAGAAUGAACCGGCGAGUUACGAUUUGAUGCAAGGUUAAGCAGUAAAUGUGGAGCCGUAGCGAAAGCGAGUCUGAAUAGGGCGUUUAGUAUUUGGUCGUAGACCCGAAACCAGGUGAUCUACCCUUGGUCAGGUUGAAGUUCAGGUAACACUGAAUGGAGGACCGAACCGACUUACGUUGAAAAGUGAGCGGAUGAACUGAGGGUAGCGGAGAAAUUCCAAUCGAACCUGGAGAUAGCUGGUUCUCUCCGAAAUAGCUUUAGGGCUAGCCUCAAGUGAUGAUUAUUGGAGGUAGAGCACUGUUUGGACGAGGGGCCCCUCUCGGGUUACCGAAUUCAGACAAACUCCGAAUGCCAAUUAAUUUAACUUGGGAGUCAGAACAUGGGUGAUAAGGUCCGUGUUCGAAAGGGAAACAGCCCAGACCACCAGCUAAGGUCCCAAAAUAUAUGUUAAGUGGAAAAGGAUGUGGCGUUGCCCAGACAACUAGGAUGUUGGCUUAGAAGCAGCCAUCAUUUAAAGAGUGCGUAAUAGCUCACUAGUCGAGUGACACUGCGCCGAAAAUGUACCGGGGCUAAACAUAUUACCGAAGCUGUGGAUUGUCCUUUGGACAAUGGUAGGAGAGCGUUCUAAGGGCGUUGAAGCAUGAUCGUAAGGACAUGUGGAGCGCUUAGAAGUGAGAAUGCCGGUGUGAGUAGCGAAAGACGGGUGAGAAUCCCGUCCACCGAUUGACUAAGGUUUCCAGAGGAAGGCUCGUCCGCUCUGGGUUAGUCGGGUCCUAAGCUGAGGCCGACAGGCGUAGGCGAUGGAUAACAGGUUGAUAUUCCUGUACCACCUAUAAUCGUUUUAAUCGAUGGGGGGACGCAGUAGGAUAGGCGAAGCGUGCGAUUGGAUUGCACGUCUAAGCAGUAAGGCUGAGUAUUAGGCAAAUCCGGUACUCAUUAAGGCUGAGCUGUGAUGGGGAGAAGACAUUGUGUCUUCGAGUCGUUGAUUUCACACUGCCGAGAAAAGCCUCUAGAUAGAAAAUAGGUGCCCGUACCGCAAACCGACACAGGUAGUCAAGAUGAGAAUUCUAAGGUGAGCGAGCGAACUCUCGUUAAGGAACUCGGCAAAAUGACCCCGUAACUUCGGGAGAAGGGGUGCUCUUUAGGGUUAACGCCCAGAAGAGCCGCAGUGAAUAGGCCCAAGCGACUGUUUAUCAAAAACACAGGUCUCUGCUAAACCGUAAGGUGAUGUAUAGGGGCUGACGCCUGCCCGGUGCUGGAAGGUUAAGAGGAGUGGUUAGCUUCUGCGAAGCUACGAAUCGAAGCCCCAGUAAACGGCGGCCGUAACUAUAACGGUCCUAAGGUAGCGAAAUUCCUUGUCGGGUAAGUUCCGACCCGCACGAAAGGCGUAACGAUUUGGGCACUGUCUCAACGAGAGACUCGGUGAAAUCAUAGUACCUGUGAAGAUGCAGGUUACCCGCGACAGGACGGAAAGACCCCGUGGAGCUUUACUGUAGCCUGAUAUUGAAAUUCGGCACAGCUUGUACAGGAUAGGUAGGAGCCUUUGAAACGUGAGCGCUAGCUUACGUGGAGGCGCUGGUGGGAUACUACCCUAGCUGUGUUGGCUUUCUAACCCGCACCACUUAUCGUGGUGGGAGACAGUGUCAGGCGGGCAGUUUGACUGGGGCGGUCGCCUCCUAAAAGGUAACGGAGGCGCUCAAAGGUUCCCUCAGAAUGGUUGGAAAUCAUUCAUAGAGUGUAAAGGCAUAAGGGAGCUUGACUGCGAGACCUACAAGUCGAGCAGGGUCGAAAGACGGACUUAGUGAUCCGGUGGUUCCGCAUGGAAGGGCCAUCGCUCAACGGAUAAAAGCUACCCCGGGGAUAACAGGCUUAUCUCCCCCAAGAGUUCACAUCGACGGGGAGGUUUGGCACCUCGAUGUCGGCUCAUCGCAUCCUGGGGCUGUAGUCGGUCCCAAGGGUUGGGCUGUUCGCCCAUUAAAGCGGUACGCGAGCUGGGUUCAGAACGUCGUGAGACAGUUCGGUCCCUAUCCGUCGUGGGCGUAGGAAAUUUGAGAGGAGCUGUCCUUAGUACGAGAGGACCGGGAUGGACAUACCUCUGGUGUACCAGUUGUCGUGCCAACGGCAUAGCUGGGUAGCUAUGUGUGGACGGGAUAAGUGCUGAAAGCAUCUAAGCAUGAAGCCCCCCNCCCCCCUCAAGAUGAGAUUUCCCAACUUCGGUUAUAAGAUCCCUCAAAGAUGAUGAGGUUAAUAGGUUCGAGGUGGAAGCAUGGUGACAUGUGGAGCUGACGAAUACUAAUCGAUCGAAGACUUAAUCAA
rnacentral:rRNA from 1 species